GAGACACCCUUAUGGGGUAGAACUUGCUCUAGUGGGGCUUUUGUGCUCACUGGGUCUGCUUCUUGAGUGUGUCCCU
rfam:Myotis davidii contig77360, whole genome shotgun sequence.